rnacentral:rRNA from 1 species
UCCGGGACAGCGCAAGUCGGUGGUACCUAGAGUCCGUGAAAAGACGAGCGUGAUACUCGUACCGAGAUCCGACACAGGUACUCUGGCAGAGCAAGCCAAGGCCCGUCGGGACCAACCGACGUUAGGGAAUUCGGCAAAUUAGUCCCGUAAGUUCGCGAGAAGGGAUGCCUGCCCCGUAUAAGGGCAGGUCGCAGUGACUCGGGCGCUCCGACUGUCUAGUAACAACAUAGGUGACCGCAAAUCCGCAAGGACUCGUACGGUCACUGAAUCCUGCCCAGUGCGGGUAUCUGAACACCUAGUACAAUAGGACGAAGGACCCGUCAACGGCGGGGGUAACUAUGACCCUCUUAAGGUAGCGUAGUACCUUGCCGCUUCAGUAGCGGCUUGCAUGAAUGGAUCAACGAGAGCGCCACUGUCCCAACGUUGGGCCCGGUGAACUGUACGUUCCAGUGCGGAGUCUGGAGACCCCCAAGGGGAAGCGAAGACCCUAUAGAGCUUUACUGCAGGCUGUCGCUGAGACGUGGUCGCUAAUGUGCAGCAUAGGUAGGAGCCGCUACACAGGUACCCGCGCUAGCGGGCCACCGAGGCAUCAGUGAAAUACUACCCGUUAGUGACUGCGACUCUCACUCCUGGCGGAGGACACCGGUAGCCGGGCAGUUUGACUGGGGCGGUACGCGCUCGAAAAGAUAUCGAGCGCGCCCCAAGGUUUCCUCACUCGGGUCGGAAACCCGAGGAAGAGCGCAAGAGCAAACGGAAGCCUGACAGUGUCCUGCCUAACGAGGGACGCUGACACGAAAGUGUGGUCUAGCGAACCUACGAGCCUGCUUGAUGCGGGCCGUAGAUGACAGAAAAGCUACCUUAGGGAUAACAGAGUCGUCACCGGCAAGAGCACAUAUCGACCCGGUGGCUUGCUACCUCGAUGUCGGUUCCCUCCAUCCUGCCUGUGCAGAAGCAGGCAAGGGUGAGGUUGUUCGCCUAUUAAAGGAGGUCGUGAGCUGGGUUUAGACCGUCGUGAGACAGGUCGGCUGCUAUCUAUUGGGGGUGUUAAGGUACUUGACGUGAACGAACGUAUAGUACGAGAGGAACUACGUUUGGGUGCCACUGGUGUACCGGUUGUCCGAAAGGGCAGAUGCCGGGAAGCUACGCACCACGGGGUAAGAGCUGAACGCAUCUAAGCUCGAAACCCACAUGAAAAAGAAGUACCAC